GUUCUCCAGAGGCUGCGCUCAUCGGAGCAACAAGGUCCUACCAAUAGGGCGGUAGUCGUGGAACUUGGCAAAGACGCAUACGUUAGGUUUUGAGAAGGUGUGUGAACUGGCUCGGUCGGCGGCGCGACUAGUAUCUCUAAAGACGAUGUAAAGUCAGAAUCGCCGAAUUUUGGUUUGGAAUGAGAAUGAGGAGAUAAAUACGUUGAUGGAGUUUCUGUAGCUGACAGCAGUGUCAAACUAGACCUAGAGUCGAUGUUUUGGUCAACAACGUUCUCUGCUGGAGCACUACAAAAAAAACUCGUCAGUUUUCGCAUCCUUUUAGCUGUUUCUACAAGCUCUUUUUCCUUUUCUCGUUUUCGCCUAGCAGCUCUAGGCAUGAUGAUUUUGAUUAGAAGUGAUUUAAACCGCAAAA